rnacentral:rRNA from 1 species
UUUUGGUGUCAGUUGACUUGAUUGGGCGGGUCCAAUAUCAGCCGGAUUCCCCUUGAGAGAGUUUGGGGAGGCCUGACGGUCUCACCCAAUGGCUUGGGGUUCUGCCGGCUGUGAGGGGUGGCGAUUAACUCACUUUAAGCAAUCAACUCUAAAGACAGCUCGAUUGGCUAGCAUUGCUGGCUGUAGACUGAACAAAUACAGACAACUCUCAACAACGGAUAUCUUGGCUCCCGUAACGAUGAAAAACGCAUCGAAAUGCGAUACGUAUUGUGAAUUGCAUAAUUCCGUGAACCAUCGAAUCUUUGAACGCAAAUUGCGCUCGAGGCUUCGGCCAAGAGCAUGUCUGCCUCAGCGUCGGCUACUACCCUCAACUAAGUUUCCUAUGAAAGACUAGGGAAUGCCAGUUGGAUAUGGCAGUCCGGUUUGCCUUUCAGGUUGCCGGUCAGCUGAAAUAUAUUCACGCUCUGGGGGCUGCUUUCCUUGAUAGGCUACUUUCAAGGGGAGGCGAGUUCCGAUUUGGUAGGUGACCUUUGCCGGUUACAUGCCUUCGUUGCUCGCUAAGCGUCCCAGUAGUCGUUGUGCAGGACGCCUUUUGGCUUUCGACCUGAGGUCAGGCAAGAACACCCGCUGAACUUAAGCAUAUCAAUAAGCGGAGGAAAAGAA